GGGAUCUGGACAGGCUGGAUAGCUGGGCUGAAGCCAAUGGGAUGGGUUCAACAAGACCAAAUGUCAGGUCCUGCACUUUGGCCACAAUAACCCCAGGCAACGCUACAGGCUCAGGGCAGUGUGGCUGGAACACUGUGUAGGGGAAAUGGACCUGAGGGUGUUGAUUGACGCUCGACUGAACAUGAGCCAGCAGUGUGCCCAGGUGGCCAAGAAGGCCAAUGGCAUCCUGGCUUGUAUCAGAAAUAGUGUGGCCAGCAGGAACAGGGAAGUAAUUGUCCCCCUCUACUCAGCACUGGUGAGGCCGCACCUCGAGAACCAUGUCCAGUUUUGGGCCCCUCGCUGUAAGAAAGACAUUGAGGCCCUGGAGCGUGUCCAGAGGAGGGCAACAGAGCUGGUGAAGGGUCUGGAGCACAGGCCUUAUGAGGAGUGGCUGAAGGAGCUGGGAUUGUUCAGUCUAGAGAAGAGGAGGCUCAGGGGAGACCUUAUUGCUCUCUAUAACUACCUGAAGGGAGGUUGUAGUGAGCUGGGGGUCAGCCUCUUCUCUCGGGUGACUAGUGAUAGGACUAGAGGGAAUGGCUUCAAGCUGCGCCAGGGAAGGUUCAAGCUGGAUGUUAGGAAAUACUAGUUCUCUGAAAGAGUGGUCAGGCACUGGAAUGGGCUGCCCAGAGAGGUGGUGGAGUCACCAAGCCUGGUGGUGUUCAAAGAG
ensembl:lncRNA